AUAUCAGUCAUGCAUAGCAUAUCAAUAAGCGGAGGAAAAGAAACUAACAAGGAUUCCCCUAGUAACGGCGAGUGAAGCGGGAAGAGCUCAAAUUUGAAAUCUUAAAGGGUUUCCCUUUACGAAUUGUAGUUUAAAGAAGUGUUUUCUGUUGAGGUUUUGGUAAAAGUUCUUUGGAAUAGGACAUCAUAGAGGGUGAGAAUCCCGUAUUUGACCUUUACUUUCAACUUUGUGAUACACUUUCAAAGAGUCGGAUUGUUUGGGAAUGCAGUCCAAAAUGGGUGGUAAAUUUCAUCUAAAGCUAAAUAUUGGCGAGAGACCGAUAGCGAACAAGUACCGUGAGGGAAAGAUGAAAAGAACUUUGAAAAGAGAGUUAAACAGUACGUGAAAUUGUCAAAAGGGAAGCGUUUGACACCAGUGUUGUUUUUCUGAAAAUCAAUUAAAGAACUGUUUAUGCUAAGUUGUUUAGACUUUAUCAGCUAACUGUUUAGUUUUGAGCUUUUCUUUAAUGCACUUUUCAGUUAACAAGUCAACAUCAAUUUCUUUUGCUGUAAAAAGGCUUGAGGAAGGUGGCUUGAGAUUCGUCUUAAGUGUUUAUAGCCUCUUGCCUAUGCAGUCGGAGAGAUUGAGGUCUGCAGCGUAGAUCCUUCGGGGCUAAAUGCAUUUGUGCUAAGUUAUAGCAUUUUAUAGACAACUUGUUGACUAUGAUUUGUCUUGUAGCUUACUCGCUUAUGUUAUUUUACCUACGCUUAGGAUGUUGACGCGCGUGUGUGCGUG
rnacentral:rRNA from 1 species